UUAACCUGUACUGUGUAGCUAUUCUUUCACCUAGUCACCUAUGGGCUAUAUGGGUUUAGCUUUUCCUGCUAAAAGAGCUUUAGUGUAUGUUAGCCGUAUGAACCAGAGAUAUCCAAAAAAGACCAGGAAAUGCCCCAAACCCCACGUCAUUCUAGGAUAAAUGAAUAUAUAUAAGUGUGAACUAUGCACACGGUUGUCAAGAUUCCCACAUCCGCAAACAUGAUUUCCAAUGUUCAUUCUCCUUGGGGCUUACACCUUCACGGUAAGCUACACAACCCCC
rnacentral:lncRNA from 1 species